rnacentral:rRNA from 1 species
CGAAGGUUAAGCCCUGUAACGCCGAUGGUACUGAGCUGGAGACGGCUCGGGAGAGUAGGUAGCUGCCGGAU